rnacentral:rRNA from 1 species
UACGUAGGGGGCAAGCGUUGUCCGGAAUCAUUGGGCGUAAAGAGCGUGUAGGCGGCCAGAUAAGUCCGCUGUGAAAUCUCGAGGCUCAACUUCGAGCUGUCGGUGGAAACUGUCUGGCUAGAGUCCGGAAGAGGAGAAUGGAAUUCCUGGUGUAGCGGUGAAAUGCGCAGAUAUCAGGAAGAACACCCGUGGCGAAGGCGGUUCUCUGGGACGGUACUGAGCUGAGGUGCGAAAGCGUGGGGAGCAAACAGG